UACGAAGGGGGCUAGCGUUGCUUCGGGUAAGUUGACUGGGCGUAAAGGGCGGCGUUAAGGCGGUUCGCACAGUUCAGAUCGUGAAAUUCCUGGGCUCGACCUGGGGCUGCGUUUGAUACGUGCGGUACUUGAGUGCGGAAGAGGGUCGUGGAAUUCCCAGAUGUAGAGGUGAAAUUCGUAGAUAUCAGGAGGAACACCAAUGGGCGAAGGCAGCUCGCUGGGACGUGACUGACGCUGGAGACGCGAAAGCGUGGGGAGCAAACAGG
rnacentral:rRNA from 1 species